AUGUUUAAUCAUUUUGAUAUGACCUCUAAUCUUGGUGAUGAUUCUGUGUCGAAUGACUCAUUGCAUGUUUGCUUAUCUAAGCAUGUUGUAGCAUGUAAAUUUGAUUCAAAUAAGGUUUAUUCACCAAUGUUGGGAUGGUUUAAUGAUGAACAUUGUCAAUCUUUUGAAAUAAAUAAGAGCUUCACUUAUAUGUGCAAACUGAGUUGCAAUAUUUUCAUGCCUUCUAGUUCCUGUGCUAAUUUGUUGGCUUUAGAUUUUAUGAACUAUGCAAGUUACUCAUCUAUUCAUGUGUCAUAUAUGCAAAAAUCAAGGGAAGUAAAAAUGAAUGACGUAUACAUAUACAACAUGUACACCUUGUCUCUUUUGUUAGCCACAUUUCAGAUUAAGCAACGCCGAGGACGGCUUUGUUUUUAA
rnacentral:rRNA from 1 species